rnacentral:rRNA from 1 species
GACGAACGCUGGCGGCGCGCUUAACACAUGCAAGUCGAGCGAGAUCCAGGCCUUCGGGCCUGGGGACAGCGGCGAACGGGUGAGUAACACGUGGGUAAUCAACCCUCGACACUGGGAUAGCCCGGGGAAACCCGGAUUAAUACCGGAUGGCCCUUUGGAUCUUCGGAUCUGACGGGAAAGGUAGCUUCGGCCUCCGGUCGAGGACGAGCCCGCGGCGGAUUAGGUUGUUGGUGGGGUAACGGCUCACCAAGGCGACGAUCCGUAGCUGGUCUGAGACGACGAACAGCCACCCUGGGACUGAGCCACGGCCCAGACUCCUACGGGAGGCAGCAGUGGGGAAUCUUGCGCAAUGGGCGAAAGCCUGACGCAGCGACGCCGCGUGAGGGAAGGAGGCCUUCGGGUUGUAAACCUCUUUCAGGAGGGACGAAGCCACUCGGGUUAAUAGCCCAGAGGGUGACGGUACCUCCAGAAGAAGCCCCGGCUAACUACGUGCCAGCCGCCGCCGUAAAAC